UACUUAACUAACAGCAGGUGUUCGCUUCCGUAAAUUUGGGCAAAUAAGUCCGAUUUCGGACGCUGACUGUCACAAGUUGAAAUAAGAGGUUUAAAAAGUACAAUUCAUCAACACCACACGCCGCCUUUAAGGAUAUUUUUGGAUAUUUUGGCACCACAACACGAAUUCAGCCAACUUUUGGGACUGCUGCUGUCUUGAACUGGAACACAAAACCUCCCAUUUUGUCUGUGGAUACUGUACAUCAUGGUGGCCAGUAAGGAUGCCCACACUGAAGUGAAACCUCCUUGGGUGCGUAGAAAGCCAAGAUACAGAAAUGUCAAGGCCUGGGAGGAAGUGAUGGCAGGGGAGAGUGGACACAAUAAGGCCGCGUCAUGUCCAGGCGUGGGAGGGGCCCGAGAGAUGAAUGGGUGGAUCCUCUAAUUCACCCUGUUGCAGUUAUCAUAAUUGUUGAACAGCCACGCGUUUUAAAGAUCGGCUUGAGGAGAGGCAAGCCACACAAAGAAAGCUAAUAGAUUUGGAAAAUUGAGAUGGAUUGUGCCGCAAAGCACUUUUUUCCCCUUCUUCUUCUUCUUUUUUUCCUAUUUGGCAUGGGAGGCAAAUGGACAAAUAUGUUCCUUGGAUGAAGAAGCGUGCGUUUGAGAUGUGAUUUAACACAAAGGUGUCUCUGUUUGUUCUUCCCCUUUGAGGCCUCAUGCAUGGCGCUUCAAAGUCUGCAAUGAAGCAGCAGCAGAAGCAGUUCCUUUCUUGAGACACCAGGGGGAAAUGAAUAACUGUGGGGGGAAAAAGACACUUCAGGGACAAGACAAACUAUGGAAA